UACAGAGGUCUCGAGCGUUGUUCGGAUUCAUUGGGCGUAAAGGGUGCGUAGGUGGCGCUGUAAGUCGGGUGUGAAAUCCUGAGGCUUAACCUCGGAACUGCAUUCGAUACUGCGGCGCUUGAGGACUGGAGAGGAGACUGGAAUUCAUGGUGUAGCAGUGAAAUGCGUAGAGAUCGGGAGGAAUACCGAUGGCGAAGGCAGGUCUCUGGGCUGACACUGACGCUCAUGCACGAAAGCGUGGGGAGCAAACAGG
rnacentral:rRNA from 1 species